AUUGAACGCUGGCGGCAGGCCUAACACAUGCAAGUCGAGCGAGCGGCGGACGGGUGAGUAAUGUCUGGGAAACUGCCUGAUGGAGGGGGAUAACUACUGGAAACGGUCGCUAAUACCGCAUACCAUCAGAUGUGCCCAGAUGGGCUUAGCUAGUAGGUGGGGUAAUGGCUCACCUAGGCGACGAUCACUAGCUGGUCUGAGAGGAUGACCGGCCACACUGGAACUGAGACACGGUCCAGACUCCUACGGGAGGCAGCAGUGGGGAAGAUUGCACAAUGGGCGCAAGACUGAUGCAGCCAUGCCGCGUGUGUGAAGAAGGCCUUAGGGUUGUAAAGCACUGUCAGCGAGGAGGCGUUACUCGCAGAAGAAGCACCGGCUAACUCCGUGCCAGCCGCCGCGGUAAUAC
rnacentral:rRNA from 1 species